AGGAGAUGUUGUUUAAGGGUACAAACUUACAACUAAUAGAUAAAUAGGUCUUAGAGAUCUAACACACAGCAUAGAGAUUAUAAUCAACUAUACCAUCUUAUUAA